UCUCCUGGAAACGGGUGGUAAUGCCGGAUGCUCCAGUUGAUCGCAUGGUCUUCUGGGAAAGCUUUCGCGGUAUGGGAUGGGGUCGCGUCCUAUCAGCUUGACGGCGGGGUAACGGCCCACCGUGGCUUCGACGGGUAGCCGGCCUGAGAGGGCGACCGGCCACAUUGGGACUGAGAUACGGCCCAGACUCCUACGGGAGGCAGCAGUGGGGAAUAUUGCACAAUGGGCGCAAGCCUGAUGCAGCGACGCCGCGUGAGGGAUGGAGGCCUUCGGGUUGUAAACCUCUUUUAUCGGGGAGCAAGCGAGAGUGAGUUUACCCGUUGAAUAAGCACCGGCUAACUACGUGCCAGCAGCCGCGGUAAUACGUAGGGUGCAAGCGUUAUCCGGAAUUAUUGGGCGUAAAGGGCUCGUAGGCGGUUCGUCGCGUCCGGUGUGAAAGUCCAUCGCUUAACGGUGGAUCCGCGCCGGGUACGGGCGGGCUUGAGUGCGGUAGGGGAGACUGGAAUUCCCGGUGUAACGGUGGAAUGUGUAGAUAUCGGGAAGAACACC
rnacentral:rRNA from 2 species